rnacentral:lncRNA from 1 species
CUUCUAUUUUCUCUUUAUACUGCCUCUCUUGGCAAACUUAUUACCUCAUUUGGAUUCCACUACCACCUGUACGCUGAUGACACCCAGCUAUAUCUCUCCUCCCCGGACCUCUCCCCUGCUGUCCUGCAACGUGUCACUGCUUGCCUUUCUUCCAUCUCUGACUGGAUGUCCUUCCGCUUUCUGAAACUCAAUCUCUCAAAAACUGAGCUCCUUGUCUUUCCUCCUCCUAAUACUGAUCCUCCUCUUUCGCUCUCCCUUCAAGUU